GGCGUUGUAGUCAGUAGCUGGUACGAUCAGCCGGACAACUCCCGUACCCCAGCACGGAUAGCAGCUAAACGGAGGCUGCAUUUCCCGAGAAUUUGGCCCAUCCCCUCGGAUAUUUCUCCCAUAGAAAAAAAACAACAACACACCGCUGCCGUUUCUCCUUCAUCUGUUAUCCCGGUAAUCUCGACAGAGCUGCUGGAAAGUGAAGCAGCACAGAGCACAGACUCCUCCUGACCAGACCACACCUCUGUCCCCAAUUCCAUGGAAGCCAAGGCCAAGUCCGGGGCUCCAGCGCCCAAGGCGGCAUCUAAAGCAGAGAAGAAGGAGCCGGCAGCCCCACGCAAGGUUGACCCUGCUCCUGCAGCCCCUGAGCCUGAGCAUCCACCUCCCCAGGAUGGGGCCGCAGAAGCUGAAGCAGCAGCGGCAGGUGACGAGGCUGCGGCCUCCGGCACAGACUCUCUGGAACACCUGAAACCCUUUCUCAUCGGUGGUGCCAUUAUUGCUGCAGGAGCCAUCUUGCUGGGAGUUCUGCUACUGGCGAGGAGAAAUUAAAACCAAAUAAUUAUUUCAAAUUAAAGUAUUUACAGGUUGAUGAUUUAGCGCGUUGUUGCUGAGUGGUUCACAGACUUUGAUGUUACACAUGGGAGAUGGGGAGCCACUGUGCAUCUUAUAUGCUUCUUUUUUAAUUUUUUUGGCCUGCUUUCACUUGUAGUGAAUUGAACCAUUCGCGUUUAUCAAGGCUGUAUAUGGAGCAUAAUUACACGUAGUAUAUGCAUGAAGUUGCGUCAGUACUGCGUCUCAACUGUAACAAUAUAUUUAUUAAAAAAAAACUCUAAAGACUA